rnacentral:rRNA from 1 species
UACGUAGGCAGCAAGCGUUGUUCGGAAUUACUGGGCGUAAAGAGUGUGUAGGCGGUGCUCUAAGUUCGGUGUGAAAUCUCCCGGCUCAACUGGGAGGGUGCGCCGAAAACUGGAGUGCUGGAGCGCGGGAGAGGAAAGCGGAAUUCCUGGUGUAGCGGUGAAAUGCGUAGAUAUCAGGAGGAACACCAGAGGCGAAGGCGGCCACCUGGACGGACACUGACGCUGAGACGCGAAAGCGUGGGGAGCAAACAGG